UUGGAGUGAUUUUGAAAACGUGUGCGCGGAAAACAGUACGUUGUUGGAAGAAUUGCUAACCGAGGAGUUGCGAUUUCUGGCGAAACCGAUUAACGGAGAAGACUACCGGAACAGUGCCUUGCGUUUAGGUUUUGAAAUCGAAAAUGAAUUUGAAGCGAUUUGCUGGAAAAUUUGAGAUUGAGCGAACACGAACCAACGAGGAACUGUAGUAUUUCGUAUGAAUUGAUUCAUGUAAGUUCCUGCUUCCGUUUUUGUUUUCAAUUCCGAAAAUUCGUUUUCUGUGUUCUGUUUGUUGUUUUCUUUUUCUUCUCACUGCAAAAUUCAUCUUUAAACUUGUUGCUUGAAACGAAGAACUGUAUUGAGAAAUUACGAUGAGGAGAUUGGAACCGUAAAGAUAAAAAAUUAUUAGGUGAUUCCGCAAAUCGUUGGUGAUUUUGAGUGAUUACUGGAAAAUUGAGUGAGUCGUUGGUGAUUCAGUGGAAGUGUUUAAGAGGAGCGCGAAUCUUUGUGUAUUUGGAACAGUUUUUACAAGUGCUUUCUUGUUGUUCUUUCUGGAAAUUAUUGCGAUUUAAAUCGUAUUUAUGUAAAAACUAAUUUUUUAAAUAUAUAAAUUAUUUUUUGAUAAAAAAGUUUAAUGUUUUUAAUAAGUCAAACAAAUAAAAUAAAAUUUAAUGUUUUGAAUAAGUCAAACUCAAACUUUAUUUAAAUUUAAUAGAAUAAGUUAGUUAAAGUUGAAUAAUUAUUUUUUUGCGCCAAAUUUAAAUUUCAAAAGUUGGUUCCACUAGAAUUAGCUGAAUACAAAGAGCACUAUAAAUAUGUGUAUGAGAAUUAUUAUAAGCAUUAUGAUAAAAACAGGCUUCAACUAUUCAAAAGAGAAGAGAAGUUCAACGGAUUACGUCCAAUCAAACUAAGUUUUCUUCUUCCUUUUCAUAUUUUAAAUUUUCAUGUUUUUCUUUGAUUUGAAUAUGAAGUUUAUGUAUAUGCAAUCUGAUUAAAAGAUAUGAAUAUUGCAGUACUAUUGCAAUCAUUACCUGCAUUCUUUUUCCAAACCCAUAUCAUUUUCUAAGAUCUCCUUUUCAUGUGGAAACAACAUUUUUGAAAUUUUACCUGACAUCUUAUAAGUUCUUCUGUCUUUUAAAUUAAUUUCGCAAUUCCCUAAGCCUGGAAUUUUUAAAUUAAUUUUAAUUUUAAUUUUAAACUUGUAAAUUUUAUAUUUUUUGAUAUAAAUUGAGAAGAAAACACUGGUUUUUAUUGGUAUCCCUUAUUGAUCAAUGUCUAACAAUUAAUAUGGUUUUUUUUUUCUUUGUUCGAAUUAGUUCUUCCAAAGCCAAGAAGAUUGGGGGAAGCAAGAUUUGCAUUCAAAUAAGGUUUGUACAUCGAGAAACAAAGUUAAACAACUUUUGAUUUUUUUGUCAUCUCUUUCUUUCAAGAUUUUAUUUUAUUUUUUGCC
rnacentral:lncRNA from 1 species